GAUGAAGAACGUAGCGAAAGGCGAUAAGUAAUGUGAAUUGCAGAAUUCAGUGAAUCAUCGAAUCUUUGAACGCACAUUGCGCCCCUUGGUAUUCCGAGGGGCAUGCCUGUUCGAGCGUCAUUAUAACCCCUCAAGCUCAGCUUGGUGUUGGGGCCUGCCGCACGGGCAGCCCUUAAAAUCAGUGGCGGUGCCAUCUGGCUCUAAGCGUAGUAAUUCUUCUCGCUAUAGAGUCCCGGUGGAUGCUUGCCAUUAACCCCCAAUUUUCUAUGGUUGACCUCGGAUCAGGUAGGGAUACCCGCUGAACUUAAGCAUAUCAAUAAGCGGAGGA
rnacentral:misc_RNA from 1 species